rnacentral:rRNA from 1 species
GACGAACGCUGGCGGCGUGCUUAACACAUGCAAGUCGAACGGAGUGUCGAACGGGUGAGUAACACGUGGGUGAUCUGCCUUGCACUUCGUGGUAAGCUUGGGAAACUGUGUCUAAUACCGGAUAGUGCAAGAUGAGCUCGCUGCCUAUCAGCUUGUUGGUGUGGUAAUGGCCUACCAAGGCGUCGACGGGUAGCCGGCCUGAGAGGGUGUACGGCCACAUUGGGACUGAGAUACGGACCAGACGCCUACGGGAGGCAGCAGUGGGAAAUAUUGCACAAUGGGGGGAAGCCUGAUGCAGCGACGCCGGGUGGGGGAGGAAGGCUGUCGGGUUGUAAACUACUUCCGACAGGGACGCGGUACCUGUAUAAGAAGCACCGGCUAACUACGUGCCAGCGGCCGCGGUAAUAC